UGCUGGCAUCAGAGCACAGGCUGGUGAACUGUGGGUUAAGAAUGAGAAGGUCAUGUGUGGCUACAUCAGUGAAGAUACCAGGGUGGUGUUUCGUUCUACGUCGGCUAUGGUUUACAUAUUUAUUCAGAUGAGCUGUGAAAUGUGGGAUUUUGAUAUUUAUGGUACUGUGUCUAUGUGCUGAUUGUAACUGCUAAGGGGAGAAUUUUCUGGAACUGCAAAUGCUAAUUCAUGAAUGCCCAGGGUCCCCCACAUCAUCUUCUAACAAACUUUAAAUAUCAUUGUGAGAAUAAUCAUAUUUGGAGGUUAGAGUGUUUUCUCGUUCUAAAGAUACACUACUUUUUUCAAUAAUCAAAUUUUUUUCAAACUGCAUUGUAUGUUGAAGUCAUAGCCUCUUAGUAGUGAGGCAGAUAUUAAAUUUGGCUUCAAAAAAUAAA
rnacentral:lncRNA from 1 species